ACAGAAGUAAAUGGGCACUCCUGGGCAUGCUGUCUAAGCUAAUAGCACUGCAGGCUGCAGCAAGCAGAAACAUGCUCCAUUUCUGCCACUGCCAAAUAACUGAAAUCAUUUGGACUUGGCUCUCAUGUUGUAUCACAACCGAUUGCAUGGUGCCGAUUAUCUUUUCUCUUUCUACCCUCAAAGGCACCUGCCAAAAAUAAUCACUAUUUUUGACAGGACGACUUCACUGAAGACUACAUCUUCCAUGUGUAUUUUUGUUUUGUUUUAAUGAAAUCUUCCCCGUUGAGCUGUUCAAUGACCAUCAAUCUGAUAGAGCUGUACUGGGACACAGGAAGAAGCACUCUGCACUUGGAUGUAGGAGAGAGCAAUGGCUAGUCCUUGGGCUGGAAUCACCCCAACCAGGACAAACAGCUGCAACCACAUCGUUAAAUUAGGAAUGGGAUUCAUCUCCAAUAGCUGAACCCAAAGGGUACAUCCCAGCUCCACUAGAUGGCAGACAGGACCUUCAAAGGUCUGAUCCCAUGGAAACCAGAUUGCAGUUCCCUCGACACUUAUCAGUUAAAAUGUUCUAAUCAAUCAGUGCAUUUUAUUAUAAUCUUUCCAAUGAGACUCAUUGCAUGCAGUAUAGAACCAAUGGACUCCACUACCCAUCCUACAGCCAUGACAUUACAGCUCAUUUUUCCCCUUUCUACUUGCCUUAGUUCUCUGAAAUGAUCAUAAAGGCACAAGGAGGGCUCCCUUCAGAGAAAUAUCAUGUGUUUUCAUUAGGUAACCUUGUAGAGAAAGACCAUGCUGCCCCUGAAGCAAGUAUCCCAACCCAGGACGUCCCUUAAAUAGGUUGAGUAUGGAUUCUGAUGUGGCUGAAUCUUGAGCUCACCCCAAGUCUGCUGGCUACUUGGCUCCCAGAAAAGGCUGCAAAACCCAAAACACUGAACACAUUGACAUACUGUUCUCUUUGUCACUUAAACUGGAUGAAAUGCUUUUGAAAAGCCAAUAUUUUAUCAACAAAUGAACUCAUUUUCUACCAAUUUUGCAAUAUUUGAAAUGUUUCUGAAUAGAUCCCGUAUCCUUGGAUCAAAGUCUGCACUGGUUGCAGAAAACAACUUGACCUGCUCGAAUUGUGAAGGAUGCACAUGUGCUCAGGUCUCUUCUUGGAAGAGGAAUUCUGUUAAAUCAAAGCAUGUUAUUUUGGUUGGUUUUGGUGUGAUUUUUAUCACUGUUAAUGUAAAAAUGGCUCUUAAGAUUUUGAUGUGGAAAUAAAGAGAUCCCUUGUCAAAA